rnacentral:lncRNA from 1 species
UCUUCUACCUCUCCGGCGCGGCGGACACCGCCACCAGUUUCAUCAAAAACUCUUGCAAACCCACUACUUAUCCCGAUCUGUGCGUCGCUUCCCUUUCCGGUUACGCACAGACCAUAAAAAACAGCCAAGAACAGCUAAUCAAAACAGCCUUGUCCGUAAGCCUGGACAGAGCCCAAUCGACAAAGGGAUUCGUAAGCAAGCUCUUGAAAUUCAAGGGAUUAAAGCCCAGAGAAUACGAAGCUAUUAAAGAUUGCGUAGAGGAGACAAGUGAUAGUGUAGAUCGGCUAAGCAAAUCGGUGAGUGAGCUCAAGGAAGUGGACCAUAGCCGUGGGAAGGAUUUCUUGUGGCAUAUUAGUAACGUGGAGACAUGGGUCAGUGCGGCUAUCACCGAUGAGAAUACUUGUACCGAUGGGUUUGCGGGUCGGGCUUUAAAUGGUAGGAUUAAGGCUUCGAUUAGAAACCGGAUCGCUAAUCUUGCUC